rnacentral:rRNA from 1 species
AUUGAACGCUGGCGGCGUGCCUAACACAUGCAAGUCGAGCGGCAGCGCGGGAGCAAUCCUGGCGGCGAGCGGCGGACGGGUGAGUAACGCUUGGGAAUCUGCCUGUUAGUGGGGGACAACCCGGGGAAACUCGGGCUAAUACCGCAUACGCACUACGGUGGAAAGCCGGGGACCGCAAGGCCUGGCGCUAACAGAUGAGCCCAAGUCGGAUUAGCUAGUUGGUAGGGUAACGGCCUACCAAGGCGACGAUCCGUAACUGGUCUGAGAGGACGACCAGUCACACCGGAACUGAGACACGGUCCGGACUCCUACGGGAGGCAGCAGUGGGGAAUAUUGGACAAUGGGGGAAACCCUGAUCCAGCGACGCCGCGUGGGUGAAGAAGGCCUGCGGGUUGUAAAGCCCUUUCAGUGGGGAAGAAAGCCUCGACCUAACACGUCGGGGUCUUGACGUAACCCAUAGAAGAAGCACCGGCUAACUCUGUGCCAGCCGCCGCAGUAAU